rnacentral:snRNA from 1 species
AUGCUCACUUUGGCAGCACACAUGUUAAAAUUGGAAUAACACAAACAAGAUUAGCCUGUCCCUUGUGCGAGGAUGACAUGCAAAGUUGUGACACAUUCCAUAUUUUU